GCCUUUGAAUACAUUUGCUCUACAUGAUUUACUCUUUAAAUGCAUUUGCUUUUUCACAACUACAAUAAGUUUCUUCUACAAAAACUAUCUUCUCAAAAAAUUUCUUCUACUUGAUAGGAGUUUCACUAUUUGCACUAAAAUUUAACCUUGUUGAGACAUUGAGGUGAAAGUGUAGCUCAUAUUCUGUAUGGUAAACUGAACCAUUGAAUUGCUGAAGUUCAAAGUGUAGAUAUGAAUGGCUGCCCAAUUGUUGCAUUUGAGAAACCCACACUAAGUGUAGGACUUGAAUCCAAUAUUAUAAGCUCUAUCAUUUCCAUACUAUUAGCAUAUGAUAUAACAAUAAUAGAUGCUCCAAUGCAUCAUCCAUUUAGAGGAUUCACUGCAAUGAAAGAAUAUUAUUUAUGUCAUAAAAAUUAACACAUCAAUCUAUGAGACUCGCAAAUGAAACUCAAGUGUUUUAAAAGUAAAGUUGAAAUU
rnacentral:lncRNA from 1 species